rnacentral:rRNA from 1 species
CCUACGGGAGGCAGCAGUGAGGAAUAUUGGUCAAUGGGCGGGAGCCUGAACCAGCCAAGCCGCGUGAGGGAAGAAGGUACAGCGUAUCGUAAACCUCUUUUGUCAGGGAACAAAGGCGGGGACUAGUCCCCGGAUGAGGGUACCUUAAGAAAAAGCAUCGGCUAACUCCGUGCCAGCAGCCGCGGUAAUACGGAGGAUGCGAGCGUUAUCCGGAUUUAUUGGGUUUAAAGGGUGCGCAGGCGGCCUGUUAAGUCAGCGGGAAAAGCCCGGGGCUCAACCCCGGCGAGCCGUUGAAACUGGCGGGCUGGAGUUGGAGAGAAGUACGCGGAAUGCGCGGUGUAGCGGUGAAAUGCUUAGAUAUCGCGCAGAACCCCGAUUGCGAAGGCAGCGUACCGGCUCCACACUGACGUUGAGGCACGAAAGCGUGGGUAUCGAACAGGAUUAGAUACCCGAGUAGUC